GCUGGGUGCCACUCGCCAGAAAACGUAACAAAGAAGAAGAAAGAAUUAAGCAACAAUGUCUUCAGUUGAGUCUCUGAGAGAGUUUGUCAGCGAGCGACUAACUGCAGCUGCUGAGGAAAUAUUCGGGGUUUUCUUUAGAAAAACUAUCGUCCAGUACGAGGAAGAGAUCAAUCGUCAGCGCAGACUGCUGGAUAUGGUUUGUAAACCUGAAAUAAAGUUACAGAGGGUAGAUCUCCCACAGCAACUGUACAGCGCAGAACCACAGAAGAAAUGUAACAAAAAAAAGAAGUCACAUAAAUAAUGUAUAAGACUGUACCAGGUCAGAUUUUAACUGCAAUACUCGCAAAGGUAAAAAAAAAAAAAAAAAAAAAAAAAGUGAUCACUUGACGGUGCACAUGAGAAGACUUCAUACAGGUGAGAAGCAGUGCCUUUGCAAGACCUGCGGGAAAUAAUUCUGCACCAUGUAUGCAUUGAAUAGAAUCCACACACAUAAACUGGUAUACAGCGCUGACCUGUGCACAUAGUGUACAUUUUAAUAGACUAUAUUUCAGUUUUCAGAUGAGUCUGAAAAAGUGGUUGUUAGGAAAGGAUGUUGGUGACCAUGGAGCAGCUGUGGUUAGUAAAGAAAAAUUAGGGAGCAAAGUCUGUUUCACCUGAGGAAAUGUUUCUUUGGAUUUUCUUAAAAUGUAUCUGACAAAAGAUCAAAUAAAACUGGGCUUCAACCUUG